UACGGGGGGGGCAAGCGUUGUUCGGAAUUACUGGGCGUAAAGGGCGCGUAGGUUGCCAACUAAGUCAGACGUGAAAUCCCUCGGCUUAACCGGGGAACUGCGUCUGAUACUGGAUGGCUUGAGUUCGGGAGAGGGAUGCGGAAUUCCAGGUGUAGCGGUGAAAUGCGUAGAUAUCUGGAGGAACACCGGUGGCGAAGGCGGCAUCCUGGACCGACACUGACACUGAGGAGCGAAAGCCAGGGGAGCAAACGGG
rnacentral:rRNA from 1 species